UGAGGAAUAUUGGUCAAUGGACGAGAGUCUGAACCAGCCAAGUAGCGUGAAGGAUGACUGCCCUAUGGGUUGUAAACUUCUUUUAUACGGGAAUAAAGUGAGGCACGUGUGCCUUUUUGUAUGUACCGUAUGAAUAAGGAUCGGCUAACUCCGUGCCAGCAGCCGCGGUAAUACGGAGGAUCCGAGCGUUAUCCGGAUUUAUUGGGUUUAAAGGGAGCGUAGGCGGACGCUUAAGUCAGUUGUGAAAGUUUGCGGCUCAACCGUAAAAUUGCAGUUGAUACUGGGUGUCUUGAGUACAGUAGAGGCAGGCGGAAUUCGUGGUGUAGCGGUGAAAUGCUUAGAUAUCACGAAGAACUCCGAUUGCGAAGGCAGCUUGCUGGACUGUAACUGACGCUGAUGCUCGAAAGUGUGGGUAUCAAACAGGAUUAGAUACCCUGGUAGUCCACACAGUAAACGAUGAAUACUCGCUGUUUGCGAUAUACAGUAAGCGGCCAAGCGAAAGCGUUAAGUAUUCCACCUGGGGAGUACGCCGGCAACGGUGAAACUCAAAGGAAUUGACGGGGGCCCGCACAAGCGGAGGAACAUGUGGUUUAAUUCGAUGAUACGCGAGGAACCUUACCCGGGCUUGAAUUGCAACUGAAUGAUGUGGAGACAUGUCAGCCGCAAGGCAGUUGUGAAGGUGCUGCAUGGUUGUCGUCAGCUCGUGCCGUGAGGUGUCGGCUUAAGUGCCAUAACGAGCGCAACCCUUAUCGAUAGUUACCAUCAGGUUAUGCUGGGGACUCUGUCGAGACUGCCGUCGUAAGAUGUGAGGAAGGUGGGGAUGACGUCAAAUCAGCACGGCCCUUACGUCCGGGGCUACACACGUGUUACAAUGGGGGGUACAGAAGGCAGCUACACGGCGACGUGAUGCUAAUCCCUAAAGCCUCUCUCAGUUCGGAUUGGAGUCUGCAACCCGACUCCAUGAAGCUGGAUUCGCUAGUAAUCGCGAAUCAGCAUGUCGCGGUGAAUACGUUCCC
rnacentral:rRNA from 1 species